AGUGAGAGGAACAGACAUACUUUUUGUUUGUAUGCAAAAAGAGAUUAAUCUAUUCAGGUGUUACUGAAAUAGGGAACACUGCUGCUUGAAAGAUUUCCCCUGGGAUUCAUGGGAGCUGCCUGUAUCCUGAAGCUGGAGGAGGGGGCCUGCUAAUACGUUCUGUACCUGGUCACGGAGCCCUGCUGCCUUGGAGAGGUGACGUAAGACCCUUGCCCCUUGCCUGAAGAGA
rnacentral:lncRNA from 1 species